rnacentral:rRNA from 1 species
UAAACGACUCUCGGCAACGGAUAUCUCGGCUCACGCAUCGAUGAAGAACGUAGCAAAAUGCGAUACUUGGUGUGAAUUGCAGAAUCCCGUGAACCAUCGAGUUUUUGAACGCAAGUUGCGCCCGAAGCCUUUUGGUUGAGGGCACGUCUGCCUGGGCGUCACGCG